rnacentral:rRNA from 1 species
UACGGAGGGCGCGAGCGUUAAUCGGAAUUACUGGGCGUAAAGCGCGCGUAGGCUGUUGUGUAAGUUGGGGGUGAAAUCCCACGGCUCAGCCGUGGAACAGCCCUUGAUACUGCGCGACUUGAAUCCGGGAGAGGGUGGCGGAAUUCCAGGUGUAGGAGUGAAAUCCGUAGAUAUCUGGAGGAACAUCAGUGGCGAAGGCGGCCACCUGGACCGGUAUUGACGCUGAGGCGCGAAAGCGUGGGGAGCAAACAGG